GACGAACGCUGGCGGCGUGCUUAACACAUGCAAGUCGAACGGAAAGGCCCUGCUUUUGUGGGGUGCUCGAGUGGCGAACGGGUGAGUAACACGUGAGUAACCUGCCCUUGACUUUGGGGUAACUUCAGGAAACUGGGGCUAAUACCGGAUAGGAGCUCCUGCUGCAUGGUGGGGGUUGGAAAGUUUCGGCGGUUGGGGAUGGACUCGCGGCUUAUCAGCUUGUUGGUGGGGUAGUGGCUUACCAAGGCUUUGACGGGUAGCCGGCCUGAGAGGGGGACCGGCCACAUUGGGACUGAGAUACGGCGCAGACUCCUACGGGAGGCAGUAGGGGGGAAUAUGGCACAAUGGGCGGAAGUCUGAUGCAGCAACGCCGCGUGCGGGAUGACGGCUUUCGGGGUGUAAACCGCUUUCGCCUGUGACGAAGCGUGAGUGACGGUAAUGUGUAAAGAAGCACCGGCUAACUACGUG
rnacentral:rRNA from 1 species